UACAGAGGAGCCAAGCGUUGUCCGGAUUGACUGGGCGUAAAGCGCACGCAGGCGGAUGCGCGCGUGGGGUGUGAAAUCUGGCCGCUUAACGGCCAGGCGCCAUCCCAUACGGCGUGUCUGGAGGGCUGCAGAGGUCGAUGGAAUUGCCGGUGUAGUGGUGAAAUGCGUAGAUAUUGCUCGGAAGGCCGGAGCCGAAGGGGCCCCACUGGUACGUAACUGACGCUGAGGCACGAAAGCGUGGGGAGCAAACAGG
rnacentral:rRNA from 1 species